UACGUAGGGUGCGAGCGUUAGUCGGAAUUACUGGGCGUAAAGCGUGCGCAGGCGGUUCGUUAAGUUCGUUGUGAAAGCCCCGGGCUCAACCUGGGAACUGCAAUGGAAACUGGCGGGCUUGAGUGUGGCAGAGGGGGGUGGAAUUCCGCGUGUAGCAGUGAAAUGCGUAGAGAUGCGGAGGAACACCGAUGGCGAAGGCAGCCCCCUGGGCCAACACUGACGCUCAGGCACGAAAGCGUGGGGAGCAAACAGG
rnacentral:rRNA from 1 species